AGUGAACGCUGGCGGUAGGCCUAACACAUGCAAGUCGAACGGCAGCACAGUAAGAGCUUGCUCUUACGGGUGGCGAGUGGCGGACGGGUGAGGAAUACAUCGGAAUCUACUUUUUCGUGGGGGAUAACGUAGGGAAACUUACGCUAAUACCGCAUACGACCUACGGGUGAAAGCAGGGGAUCUUCGGACCUUGCGCGAUUGAAUGAGCCGAUGUCGGAUUAGCUAGUUGGCGGGGUAAAGGCCCACCAAGGCGACGAUCCGUAGCUGGUCUGAGAGGAUGAUCAGCCACACUGGAACUGAGACACGGUCCAGACUCCUACGGGAGGCAGCAGUGGGGAAUAUUGGACAAUGGGCGCAAGCCUGAUCCAGCCAUACCGCGUGCGUGAAGAAGGCCUUCGGGUUGUAAAGCCCUUUUGUUGGGAAAGAAAAGCAGCUGGUUAAUACCCCGCUGUUCUGACGGUACCCAAAGAAUAAGCACCGGCUAACUUCGUG
rnacentral:rRNA from 1 species